AACUUUUAAAGGAUAAUAGUAAU
rnacentral:tRNA from 1 species